ensembl:miRNA Gm44361 predicted gene, 44361
CAUGGUCGCUCUUCACUGGGCUACUCCAGCAGCAGCAGCAGCAGCAGCAGCAGCAGCAGCAGCAGCAGCAGCAGCAGCAGCAGCAGGUGACUGU